GACAGAGGGUGCAAACGUUGUUCGGAAUUACUGGGCGUAAAGCGUACGUAGGCGGCUUUGUAAGUAAGACGUGAAAGCCCGGAGCUCAACUCCGGAACUGCCUUUUAGACUGCAUCGCUUGAAUCCAGGAGAGGUGAGUGGAAUUCCGAGUGUAGAGGUGAAAUUCGUAGAUAUUCGGAAGAGCACCAGUGGCGAAGGCGGCUCACUGGACUGGUAUUGACGCUGAGGUACGAAAGCGUGGGGAGCAAACAGG
rnacentral:rRNA from 1 species